rnacentral:rRNA from 1 species
AGGAUAAACGCUGGCGGCGUGCCUAACACAUGCAAGUCGAACGUCUCUUUCUUCGGGAAGAGGAGUGGCGGACGGGUGAGGAACACGUGGGAACCUGCCCUUUAGUGAGGAAUACCGGCGAGAAAUCGCCGACAAGACCGCAUAGCCCUCUUUGAUGAGAGUCAAAGAAGGAAAGCUUCGCAAGAGGCGCUAGAGGAGGGGCCUGCGUCCGAUUAGCUAGUUGGUGGGGUAAGAGCCUACCAAGGCGUCGAUCGGUAGCUGGUCUGAGAGGACGAUCAGCCACACUGGGAUUGAGAACGGCCCAGACUCCUACGGGGGCAGCAGUGAGGAAUUUUCGGCAAUGGGGGAAACCCUGACCGAGCAACGCCGCGUGCAGGAAGACGGCCUUCGGUUGUAAACUGCUUUUCUUUGGGAAGAGAACGGACGGUACCAGAGGAAUCAGCCCGGCUCACUACGUGCCAGCAGCCGC